UGCGGGUUGUGCAUGGAAGGUGGUGAAACGGGGAUGUUUUGGUGAAUAGCUGCUCUUAUCCCUGUGCUUUUUCUCUCAAGAGGAAAGUGGAAGAGGGGAAUCCAACCAGCACAUUGCCUAAGGCAUCAAUAGCCAGCGCGAGGAGGAAAAGCUGACAGUUGCUGUUAAAGCAGAUGUCCACAAGAUGGCGCCAGAGUACCUUUUGGACCCAGGUGCUGCUGCAAGGCUGCAGGUGCACUCUCAGAGGCAGCUGCUAGGAAGACAUGACCGAAAUCCACGUCGGGGAUAUUCAGGCCGGUCGAAUGAUUGAUAGCAAGGAAGCUCUCGCCGAGAUCCCUUCUGGCACCCUGGGUCCAAGAGAUGUCUUUGUCAUUGCGGUGGGUGUGGAAAACACUGCUGCUUCCAAAACCUUCAUGGGCAGACCACUCCCGCUCGCUUCAAGAACCAGAGGAAGGUGGAGCAGAUCUCGGUGCAGACGUGGAUUCACAGUGAGGUGAUCAGUAGCUGAGCUAAAAUUCACACAAGGUACAAAAUGCCUACUCCCUCAUUUUGGCCCUGGAUAUCUUGCACAAGAAUCUGUGGCUCAUCCUAACUGGAACCAGAGGGCAAGGAAUUCUGGG